rnacentral:sRNA from 1 species
GCUAUCAAAUGGCGAGAAGGGAAGUGUGUUUCCAUAGAA